rnacentral:lncRNA from 1 species
AAUACGCCUCUGAUCAUGUGUUUGUUUUUACUGUUUUUGAUGUGAUUUGUUAGUUUCUUGUGUCGCAAGUAUUGUAUUUCCUUUCAUGUUUUGGUUAUUGUUGUCAUUUUUACCGUUUCGCCUCGUAAUUCUUUGCUUACUUUUCUUACCAUUUUACACCUUAUUUUACUAACAUUUCUAUUUCAUGUUUCAUCCAUUACAUAAGCAUUCUACCACUUCAUCUCCAUUUCUCUUAGUUUAGGUAUUUUACCAUUCAAUUUCUAUGU